ACUCAAAGGAAUUGACGGGGGCCCGCACAAGCGGUGGAGCAUGUGGUUUAAUUCGUCACUAACCGAAGAACCUUACCCAGGCUUGACAUCGCGUGUAAAGCCAUGAAAGUGGCUCCUCCCCGCAAGGGGACACAAAGACAGGUGUUGCAUGGCUGUCGUCAGCUCGUGUCGUGAGAUGUUGGGUUAAGUCCCGCAACGAGCGCAACCCUCACCGUAUGUUGCCAGCGUAAAGUCGGGAACUCUUACGGAACUGCCCGUGCAAGCGGGAGGAAGGUGGGGAUGACGUCAAGUCGGCAUGGCCCUUACGCCUGGGGCUACACACAUGCUACAAUGGACGCAACAGAGGGAUCCGAGACCGCGAGGUGGAGGCAAUCUCACAAAUACGUCCUCAGUUCGGAUAGCAGGCUGCAACUCGCCUGCUUGAAGCUGGAAUCGCUAGUAACCGCAGGUCAGCUAAACUGCGGUGAAUACGUUCCCGGGCCUUGUACACACCGCCCGU
rnacentral:rRNA from 1 species